AGGAGUGUAGCUCAGUGGUAGAGCACCUGCUUAGCCCAUGCAGGGCCUUGGAUUCAAUCCCUAACACCAGAGUUAAAAUCUUUGAUUUCUA
rnacentral:tRNA from 1 species